GGCAGCGGCGCGGAGCGGAGCGAGCGGGGGAGCCGCGCUGCGAGGAGGAGCCGCCGCCUCAUCCUGCGGCACCGGCCCGGCCAGCGCAGGUGGCAGUGUAGAAGCCAAGAACAAAAAUUGGCAGAAAUUGUGUUCUGUGUAUGAGAAUAUGAAGAGUGUACUCAUGACUAAGCACAGGAACCUGGAAAACCACAGGCUUUAGUCAGGUGAUCCCUGAUGAGUAGCCAGCCCACCAAGAAGGGACUUGAGCACACAGGUAAGAGAGAAGCUGUGCACUCACACAUGCAACUGGGGGGUCUGGGGGAGGAGGUAAACAGCUCUGACAUUGUUUGAAUAGUUAAAAAAAACCCCGACUUGCUUGGAUGUGUGACACUGUGAUUGUCUCUUUCAAUGCUGCUACUUCUGCUAUUCAGUCUUGUUCUCGGUUUUUUUGGAAUCUGUCUUUAAUUAGAAGCUUUAUUGCAAAAAAAAAAAAAAAAGAAAAAGAGAAAAACCCAAUUGUGUGGUGUUAAAUAUAGACCUGGGUAUUGCAUGAAUAUUGCAUUUUGUCACUUUUUGAAUAAAAUAACUUUCCAUAA